CGCCCGUCUCACCCACGCCCCGCACUCCUCCUCUCGCACCCUUCUCUCCCACGCACUGACGCGCCUCUCUCCUCUCCUUCACUCUGAUCUGAUCUGAAUCCACCGCCGCCCACCGUCGCCCGCCCCCACCGCCACCCACCGUCGCCCACCCCCAUCAUCGACGACACUCACCAUCAAGCCCACGCCCAGAUCUGCGCUCUGUAGUACUCGCCCGGAACCCUCACCCGUGGCUAGGGUUUCGGCCACCACCCCUAAAUUCAUCGGGAUCUGCCACAUCCAGCGACAGCGAGGCCAGAGGUGGCCGAAUCUGGCACUGGUGGAUGGGACGACGACGAUGGCAGGAGGGGAGAACCUCCAUGGGACGGGUCGCCACCAAGGAGAUGGAGCUCCUUCUCCCCUACCAUGCAACCUCCCUCCCAGCGCCAACAGAGAGCCGGCUACCAUGAUGCGAUAGCGUUGUCGCAAGCCUCGCGGGGCUGUGCAUCUCAUCGUCUGCCACGCCCUACCAGGAGCUACAUCACCCACGCGUCUCCUCUGAGGAGGGGACGGUGGCUUGUGUGUCGGCGUGGUUGGCUCCAGCUCCUCGCCGACCUAUGAAUCCACAUGCGUCGCCGUCUUCGACCACAGGUCACCCAUCCUUGAGGAGCAGAAGGAGGGGCGCAUCUAGCUGUCCAUCAAGGGCCUGCUCUGCUCCUCUUCUUCCUUGACCAUCGGUACCACCAUGUUCCCGGGCUUCCAAGGUGCGCCAGCACACCGCCGCCAUGCCUCCUCUGCUCUCUGGGCUCGGACCAAUCGCUCGCCCCUUCAAGUAUGCACAUCUCCUGCUAUUAUCUCAACCCUGUCCGGCAGCACCACCGCGUCGACGACGAAGGUGAUGACUACGGCGGCAAGCAGCGCGAGUUGGUGGCUGCGAGACUCGGCGGCACGGCUCUCGUCAGCAGCGACAGAGGCGGUUGUUAGGAGCGCAUGAUAGACUACUAACUAGACAAGUAUCUGCAACGUUCAGCGUCGAAGAUGAUGCUUACCAGAUGUUCUACUACAGCCCCAUCCAUAUCAUCGACAUGAAGUUAGAUUUUGGCCUUCAUUUGUCAAAAGUUGGUGUACAAGGAACUCGAGGAGAAGAAUCUUUAAGUAAAUAAUUUAUAUAGAUCAGGAUCUUAUGUUGUCGAGGUGGCUGCUGUUGUGACCAAAGAUCAGCCUGGAGAUGUGCAUCAUAGUUUUAGUUGAUGUUGCCACCAUGUUUUGGUGCCUGUGUAUUUGAUUGUAUGUACACUUGAUGGACCGUGUAGUCGUGUACGUGCUGUUUGAGUUUCAUUUAGUGAUUUCUGGAUUUGAUCAUUUAAUUGAGAAAAUUAUUUAUUGUUUGC
rnacentral:rRNA from 1 species